CCCUUAGAUGUUCUGGGCCGCACGCGCGCUACACUGACGAUGGCAACGAGUUUUUCCUUCGCCGAAAGGUGUGGGUAAUCUUUUGAAACAUCGUCGUGCUGGGGAUAGAUCAUUGCAAUUUUUGAUCUUGAACGAGGAAUUCCUAGUAAGAGCGAGUCAUCAGCUCGCGUUGAUUACGUCCCUGCCCUUUGUACACACCGCCCGUCGCUACUACCGAUUGAAUGGUUUAGUGAGGACUCCUGAUUGGCGCCGCCGCCCCGGCAACGGAGCAGCGGACUGCCGAAAAGUUGUUCAAACUUGAUCAUUUAGAGGAAGUAAAAGUCGUAACA
rnacentral:rRNA from 1 species